AAUAUGAACAGCUAUGUUUAAUUUAUCAAAUUUGCAAGCAAUGAUGAUUCCAUUAAAAUGAAAAAAAAUCAUGUUUUAGGAUUAGUUAAAUGUGGUAGCAAAUGCUGGUACUGAUUAGAAUUCUUACAACUGCAAGUGACAGGAAACAGACUAACUUAAGCAAAAGGACUGCAUUAAGCCAGGAAAUUCCAAAAGUCCCUGUAGUAUAACAGUUUCAGGUAUGGCUGGAUUCAGGACUCCAGAAUAUAACCAGGACUCAGUUUCCUGCCAUUUCUCUUUCUUUUCCGCAGGGUUGGUGUCAGUGGCAGGUUUCACAUGCUGGCAAGCUGGAGCCAGCAGCUCCAGCUCCAGCUCUAGCACCCCUGGAGUUUUGAGUCCAGUGAAAAAAACGAUGAGAGGCUUUGUCCCAGAUAUUUUAGCCUGAGUCUCAAUGCCUCUCAUUGGCUCCAACAGAUCACAUGCCCAGCCCUGAGCCAAUCAACAUGGCCACAUCCGGGUCAGUUACUACUGCCUCCGCCCCAUGCUGUGGAGCCCGGCUGGAAGCCCGGGGGUUGUUGGGUCUUCACCCGGGAAAUGGGGAGAGAGACUGCGGGGCAGCUGGCACCACAUACGUGCCUUACAGGGGAGAGGAGAGGAGAAGAAAUGGUGGUAGAGAAAGAAAGGCAAGGGGAGCUGUGCAGAACCACCCGGAAGCUUGAGAGUUCAACGCGGAGAACCUGCUCUGUGCCAGGCCCCCACCUGGGAGGUGUGGGCAACCUUCCUGCCUUCCGGGUGCUCAGAGUCUAGUCUGGAGACAAUAAGAAAAAUGGUUAAUCACCAUGGAAUGUGCUAGCGCCUUAGCCCGAAGCAGGGGUCUGGUUAUUGAGGUUUGUUGAAGGAAGAUGCCUGUAAGGGCUGGGUGCGGUGGCUCACGCCUGUAAUCCCAGCACUUUGGGAGACCAAGGUGGGCGGAUCACCUGAGGUCAGGUGUUCGAGAUCAGCUUGGUCAACAUGGUGAAACCCUGCCUCUUCUAAAAAUGCAAAAAUUAGCCAGGCGUGGCAGUAGGUGCCUGUAAUCCCAGCUACUCGGGAGGCUGAGGGAGGAGAAGCACUUGAACCCGGGAGGCAGAGGUUGCAAUGAGCUGAGAUUGGCCACUGCACUCCAGCCUGGGUGACAAGAGCAAAACUCCCCCUCAAAAAAAGAAAAGAGGGGGAGGGCAGGGGAGAAGGGGGAAGGGGGAAGGAAAGCAGGUAUUGAAGGAGAAAUUGCUGAGCUGGGCUCAGGUCUAGCCUUGGCCUGGGUUAGAGGAGUGGGCUCCAAGCAGAGUGGCCCCCUUAGAGGCAAAGAGAAUGGCCUUGUCUGCCUCCUUUCAGGCUUUGGAUGGGGCUGAUAGGUGAGGUGGUGGGUGCUUGUCAGCCAAGGGCCCCUCCACAUAAGGGGACAGGUGGGGGGCAGCUGCGAGUCUGUAGACCCAAGACUUGCAGCAGCUGGAGGACCGGUGAGCAGCCUGGUAAAGCGACCUGGGGAGGCACCAGCAGCAUCUGCUGCAGUAUGGCCACACUAGCUGUUUGAUGGAGGACAGGGUAGGGAGCAGAGAGUAGGGAGCCGAGGGCAGGGAGCUUCCAGAAGGUCAUUCUGCUGCAUUGUGAAGAACAGCUGAGGAGGCGGCCAAGAGAAGAAAGGUCCGAGGGGGGCCGGGCGCAGUGGCUCACGCCUGUAAUCCCAGCACUUUGGGAGGCCGAGGCGGGUGGAUCAUGAGGUCAGGAGUUUGAGACCAGCCUGGACAACAUGGUGAAACCCCGUCUCUCCUAAAAAUAUAAAAAUUAGCUGGGGCAUGGUGGUGCGUGCCUGUAGUCCCAGCUACUCGGGAGGCUGAGGCAGGAGAAUUGCUUGAACCCAGGAGGCAGAGGUUGCAGUGAGCCAAGAUUGUACCACUGCACUCCCGCCUGCACGACAGCAUGAGACUCUGUCUUAAAAAAAAAAAAAAAUGGCCCGAGGGGUCGACAUGUGCAGAAGUUACAGGAGCACACAGCCCUUUCUGGAAACCCUAAGAUGUUUAAGGGUAACACGGGGUAUGGGGGGAAGCAGGAGGUGGUGGUGAGAGAAGAGGCCUGACCCUGAAGGGUCACGUGUGCUCAACAAAAACAGGAGUUCUAAAAGAACCGGAUUUUCCUUUCACCCCACCUCAGUUUUUUCUGCAAACAGUUGUGCGUGAAAUCAGGACCCAGAUGCUGCAGAACUGAAGUGGGAAGGGACUGACCACCACUGGGCAAAAGGCCGAAGAGGGUAGGCCACAGAGGGGCUGUCUCUAAGGGCUAAAAAUACAAGGGUUGAGACCAACUGAAGUGUGGCGAUUUCCUUGACGUUGGCAUUUUGGUUUUGUUUUCCUUUUUUUAAGAUAAGAGUUAUAUAGUAACUCAGAGCUCAGUAACAUCAGCAUUUUGGAAGUAGGAUAGGAAGAAAGUCUCAUCACAAGGGAGCCCUGUGGAGAGGAAUGAGCACAGAAUUUGGAGUCAGAAGAGUGGAAGGCCUGGGCUUGGGGCCUGGCUGCACCGUGCCGGCUGGAUUGUUCUGGGAAAGCUGCCCAACUCUCUGCUCCGCAGUCCCCACAUCUGUCACUAGGGAUCAUAUCUGCCUCACAGGAUCAGCUGAGAUAAGGCACGUGUGUAAAAGGCUGUACAAAUGUUAGUUACUAUAAGGUUGUCUCAAAAAAAUAAAACCCACGGCAAAGAGUAUCCCAAGGCAGGCUCAUUUUACUCCAAUUACCAUUUGGCACCGAGCAGAUCAGGGGACUUACUGCAUGACACAGCAAGUCAGUGGAAGAGCCAAGGAGUGCACUCAUCCAAGUUACUGAUUCCGAUGUCAGCAAAACCUGCUGAAACCCAUCUUCACACUGCAGUUCAGAGGGUGUCCCCAGGAAGCACCUCUCUGCAAAGCAUGUUCAACGUAGUUCCCAGUGGCCUGCCAAAUGGUCAGCAGCAAGGUGUAACUGGAUGUCGCUUCCAGGAAGCAGAGUGAAAAGAGACAAGGAGUAGGAAACUAAUGUCCAGAGUCGGCCAUUUGCCCCAGGGACCGGAGUGGAGACUGCAUUUCUAAGUGCUUCCUCUGUCCACAGCCCUCCUCCCCCAUACCUUUUAAAAACAGAUUUGCUGGCUGGGUACGGUGGCUCAUGCCUGUAAUCCCAGCACUUUGGGAGGCUGAGGCAGGUGAAUUGCCUGAGCUCAGGAGUUCGAGACCAACCUGGACAAAACCCUAUCUCUAGCAAAAAAUACAAAAAGUUAGCCGGGCCUUGUGGUGCAUACCUGUGGUUCCAGCCACUGGGAAGGCUGAAGUGGGAGGAUCACUUGAGCCUGGGAGGUGGAGGUUGGAAUGAGCUGAGAUUGCGCCACUGCACUCCAACCUGAGUGACAGAGUGAGACCCCAUCUCACAAAAACAAAACACAGAUUUGUUGGCUGGGCAUAGUGGCACAUGCCUGUAAUCCCAGCACUUUGGGAGGCCGAAGCGGAAGGAUCACUGGAGUCCGGGAGUUUGAGACCAGCCCAAGCUGUGCAGCCCAGGCAACACAGCAAGACUUUGUGUUUCUUUUACAAAAAAAAAAUUAGCCAGGUUUGGUAGUGUACACCUGUAGUCCUAGCUACUCUGGAGGCUGGGGUGGGUGGAUCUCUUGCUUCCAAGAGUUCAAGGCUGCAGUGAGCUGAUUAUACCACUGUACUGUGGCCUGGGAAACAGAGUGAGACCCUGUCUCAAAAAAAAAAAAAACACCCAAAAGACAAAACACCACAUUUGUUGAAAUAUAAUUCACAUACAAUAAAAAUACAUCGUUUUAAAAUGGACAAUUCAUGGUGAUGUGCACCCGUAGUCCCAGCUACUUGGAAGGCUGAGAUGAGAGGAUCGCUGUGAGUCAAUGAAACCUCUUUCCUUUAUAAAUUACCCAGUCUCAGGUAUUUCUUCAUAACAGAAUGAGAAUGGACUAAUACAUCCUCCCACCUCAUCCUCCUAAAGUGUUGGGAUUACAGGCGUGAGCCACCGCACCCAGCUGUUUACACUCUCUUGAUGGUGUCCUUUAAAGCACACAAGUUGGUAGGAAGCAGUAGCUCAUGCCUGUAAUCCCAGCACUUUGGGAGGCCCAGGUGGGAGGAUUGCUUGAGGCCAGAUUGGGCAACAUAGCAAGACCUCCAUCUCUACAAAAUUUUAAAAAUUAGCUGGGUGUGGUGGUGCAUGCCUGUAGUCCCAGGUACUCAGGAAGUCAAGGCUGAAGGAUCACUGCAGCCUUGAGUCCGGCAGGUUGAAACUGCAGUGAGUUGUGAUCGCACCACUGCACCCUAGUCUGACCAAAAGAAUGAGACCCUGUCUCAGAAAAAAAAAAAAGAAAAAAAGGGGAAAAAACCCAUAAAAUUUUAAAAUCAUUAUUAAGUCUAAUUUAUCUAUUAUUUUUUCUACUCUUGCUUGUGCUUUUGGUGUCAAUCUAAGAAGUCUUUGCCUUACCCAAGGUUUACUGCUGCACUUUCUUCUAAGAGUUUUAUAGUUUUCGUUCUUACAAUUAGGUCUGUGAUCCAUUUUGAGAUAUUUUUAUUUAUUUACUUUUUUUGAGAUGGAGUUUUGCUCUUGUUGCCUAGGCUGGAGUGCAAUGGCGCGAUCUCAGCUUACUGCAACUUCUGCCUCCCAGGUUCAAGUGAUUCUCCUGUCUCAGCCUCCCGAGUAGCCUGGAAUUACAUGCACAUGCCACCACGCCUGGCUAAUUUUGCAUUUUUAAUAGAGAUGGAAUUUCACCAUGUUGGCCAGACUGGUCUCAAACUCCUGACCUCACAUGAUCCGCCUGCCUUGGCCUCCCAAAGUGCUGGGAUUACAAGUAUGAGCCACCAUGUCUGGCCAAGUUAAUGUUUGUUUAUC
rnacentral:lncRNA from 10 species